rnacentral:tRNA from 1 species
UCCCUGGUGGCUCAAAUGGUAAAGUGUUUGCCUACAAUGCAGGAGACCCAGGUUCAAUCCCUGGAUCGGGAA